rnacentral:rRNA from 1 species
UACGAAGGGUGCAAGCGUUACUCGGAAUUACUGGGCGUAAAGCGUGCGUAGGCGGUUUGUUAAGUCUGUCGUGAAAGCCCCGGGCUCAACCUGGGAAUGGCGAUGGAUACUGGCGAGCUAGAGUACGGUAGAGGAGAGUGGAAUUCCCGGUGUAGCAGUGAAAUGCGUAGAGAUCGGGAGGAACAUCAGUUGCGAAGGCGACUACCUGGCCUGUUCUUGACGCUGAGGCGCGAAAGCUAGGGGAGCAAACGGG